GAAGACAGUGAGCAUUGAAUUGAUAAGUGUUAAAUGCUCCGCUUUUGAAGGCAGCCGUCCAAGCCAAGAUUGCAACCUUGCACCCAACUUGUCGCUGAGGGGAUAGAUAUGUGCUUUGGAGAACUUGCGUGUGUGCAAUUGGACACCAAGAUAGCGGCAUUGGAAAUGUGUGAUCUCGCCUGGGAAGAGUUGGGAGAUCUGAUCUAGGACGGGUUGUUCACAUCUUAUUGGAUGAAUGUAGCUCUUUUGAAGGCAUCUAUGGGGGCCAAAAUCUGCCGUUGUGUGGCCAACUCAAUGAUGCGAUGUAGUGGGUCGAUGGCCAGAAUGAAUAAAAUAGAAGAUAAGGGGUGGCCCUGACGAACCCCACGGGCCACGUCCAUGGUAGAACCGACCUCCAGGCCGUUGAGCAGAACAUGGGAGGAAGCUGGAGUGUGUAUUUGAUCCAUCCAGACUUGACUUAAUCCUUUGUUGGUUAGUACUACCACCUAGCUUGCUUGCUUGGACAGAUUGAUUGCUUUGUUCCGCAGUUGCUUCCUCUUUCUUUGCUGUGGGCCUUGUACUUGCUCACGAUGAUCUUCACGAAAGCCGUCUUGAGCUUCAGCGCGGCAUCGGCAGGGGCGACGCGUUGGCCGCCGGCGAGCAUGAGCUGCACCGCCUGCUCGGCGAGCGCGUGGAGGCCCUCUGCGGCUAUCGUGCCCAUACCAUCCGCUCCACCUCCGAGGGCGACGGCGAGUUGAACGCGCUUGCUGCGAUGAGGCUGAGCGCAAGGGACACACCGGCUGUGGAGCCGGAGAGAGUAGAGAUCGCUGUGUGCGCCAAACGCUGGGCACGCGCGCGUCCGUUCUCCUCAGCUCCUCACUGAAGUCUAAUCAGCAUUCACCAGAUCAAGGCGGCCGCGUAUUAUUUUACUGUUUACCUCUAGUCGCGUCAGAUGCUACUUUUGAAACAAACAAACAUUCAUGCAGACCACCACAAUCAUUCUAAAUGCUACCGCUAAAUCUGUGAAGGCUUCUACUUUCUUGUGCAAGGAGUCCAGAGAGGUAUUCAUAGCGGUACAAAAACAACACAAGUCUCUGUGCUAACAAUCAUGUCUUUUUCAUGCUGAAAUGGAUGAACAAUACGACCAUACGUGAUGGUAACGAGGACGUACGGCUCCAUCGAUCUCUCAGCAACGGACAACUAGCUAAACCAACACAUUCAUAAGCUCUAUCCCUUUGUAACACACAUGCAGAACUCUUGCCAAGCCAUCAA